ACCCAACGGCGUUCUGGGCUGCGGAUUCAUUGGCUUCCCCCACCCACAGCAGGACGUGGCCUUAAGUCUCUCUGCCUUAGUCAACUUGGGCCGCCGUAACAGAAUACAACAGACUGGGUGGCUUCAACAUCAGGAAUUUAUUUCUCACAGUUCUGGAGGCUAAAGGAUGAUGAUUAGAAGUCUCAGGUUGCAAGGCUGCUUCAUGGACAUUCAGUAGGCCCUGCUUGCACCAGCUGCUGGGCACAUCAAGGGGGCCCCAUGCAUCCUGAGAAGAGCCCACAGUCUGGAGGGUCGAUGGACACAGGACUGGACUCUGAGCAGUUUGUUCUCACUGGCCUCUGCUUCCGCCUCUCAAGUCUGUUCUACUUCUGUUGUCCUCUGACCAGCUAAUAUUCCCCACUCAGGCCCCCCUGCCACCUUGCAAAUCCCCCCUUGGAUUAACUGAUGCAGUCUACAACCUCCUAUCCAAGCUUGCCCUUCACUAUCCAUCCCCGGGAAAAGUGAUCCAGGAACUAGUCCACACUGAGAUGGGUCCCUGUGCCUCUCCCAGGGGUAUAGUACAGGAGCCAAAUAAAUAACACUCCAAAGAGGGCAUUUGAGGCCUUGGGGAAGAGCUGGUUCA